GACGAACGCUGGCGGCGUGCCUAAUACAUGCAAGUCGAGCGGACGAAUCGAAAGCUUGCUUUUGAUUCGUUAGCGGCGGACGGGUGAGUAACACGUGGGCAACCUGCCCUGUAGACGGGGAUAACACCGAGAAAUCGGUGCUAAUACCGGAUAACACGAAAUGUCGCAUGACGUUUCGUUGAAAGACGGCGCAAGCUGUCGCUACAGGAUGGGCCCGCGGCGCAUUAGCUAGUUGGUGAGGUAACGGCUCACCAAGGCGACGAUGCGUAGCCGACCUGAGAGGGUGAUCGGCCACACUGGGACUGAGACACGGCCCAGACUCCUACGGGAGGCAGCAGUAGGGAAUCUUCCGCAAUGGACGAAAGUCUGACGGAGCAACGCCGCGCGAGCGAAGAAGGCCUUCGGGUCGUAAAGCUCUGUUGUUAGGGAAGAACAAGUAACGCAGUAACUGGCGUUACCGUGACGGUACCUAACGAGAAAGCCACGGCUAACUACGUG
rnacentral:rRNA from 1 species